GAGAGAGAGAGAGCAAGGGAGCCAGCACGGACACACAAGCUGUCGAUAGGUCUGCUAGCAGCAGCCGUGCUGCAGCAGAGAGAGAAAUCAAGAAACAAGUCAUAGCAACACUGGGCACCAGAUUCCGCCAAGCGUUCAGAAAUCUGUCGGGGGCCAGAGGCCUCUGGGUAGCCUAGGCUAAGAUGUCACGCAAGGUGGCAUGGGCGGUUCCCAUAGGGAGGAGGUAAGAUGAGGGGCAGGAGUAGAUACAAGAGUUGGUGGGGUGGCAGGGGAAGACUUAAUCAGAGUGGAUUCUGGAAUGUUCUGGACUGCGGCACCCUGUGUCUGGAUAGGAAUUUGGGUCUGCGCAGGAGACGGCUGGUGGUCCACUGGGGCUUAAGGACUUGAUGGCAUAACCUACUUCUUCCUUCACAGAACAUGACAGAGUACUGCUCUACCUAUAAGUAGUUGACAACCUCUUGGCAACUCAGGCUCAGCUGAGGAUGAUGUUUGUGCAUCAAAGCCAUAAUUCCGCUGGCUAGAAGUUUGCUUGCAUUGUUUUGGAACAGAAAAGAGGAGCUUCUUGACCACUCUUUCAGUAGGUGCUGGAUGAAGUUGCUGAGGUGGGAUGAGGGCCAGUAGGACGCCAUGUUUAGAGAAGGAAAGACUGGGGCACUCAGUUUUGUCAAAGGUGGUUAUGCCCUACCUCAAAUACCAGCUUCCAGAGUCUCCUCUGUUUCCUGCUUGACUUGCUUUGCUCACAAAUAUCUUUUGACCUUUCCUCACUUUUCCGGACCUCUGACUGUGUGCUUUCCCACACCCCUUUCUCUUCCCUUUGAUUUUUUUUCUUUAGGAUAAAUGAGAGCAUUCUCAGCUACUGGUCUAAGAGACAUACCUGGUUUUUCUUUUUUUUCUUUCUUUUUUUUUUUAAUCUUCACCCCCUAUAGCAAGACAGGGAAAGGAAGUUGUCCUGGGAAGGAAGAUGGGUAGUGAG